rnacentral:rRNA from 1 species
AUUGAACGCUGGCGGCAUGCCUUACACAUGCAAGUCGAACGGCAGCACGGGAGCAAUCCUGGUGGCGAGUGUCGAACGGGUGAGUAAAGUAUCGGAACGUGCCCAGUCGUGGGGGAUAACGUAGCGAAAGGUACGCUAAUACCGCAUCCGAUCUAUGGAUGAAAGCGGGGGUUCGCAAGACCUCGCUCGAUUGGAGCGGCCGAUAUCAGGUUAGGUAGUUGGGGGGGUAAAGGCUAACCAGGCCGACGAGCUGUAGCUGGCCUGAGAGGACGACCAGCCACGCUGGGACUGAGACACGGCCCAGACUCCUACGGGAGGCAACAGUGGGGAAUUUUGGACAAUGGGCGAAAGCCUGAUCCAGCCAUGCCGCGUGCAGGAUGAAGGCCUUCGGGUUGUAAACUGCUUUUGUACGGAACGAAAAGGUUUGGCCUAAUAAGCUGAGCUCAUGACGGUACCGUAAGAAUAAGCACCGGCUAACUACGUGCCAGCAGCCGCCGUAA